rnacentral:tRNA from 1 species
GCGGGCGUAGCUCAGCUGGCAGAGCGCAACCUUGCCAAGGUUGAGGUCGCCGGUUCGAUCCCGGUCGCCCGCU